ACCAAACUUCGACCGACAAGUCUGGACCCCCUGGCAGGCCACAGUAACGGACAACACUGUUCCACUCCCUGCGGCGGACCCUACGCAGCUCCAUCACUCCCUGACAGGCCGCAGUAACGGUUACAGCACUACUCCACUCCCUACGACGGAUCUCGCGUAGCUCCACUACUCCCUGGUAGGCCACAAUAACGUCCACGAUCCUGC
rnacentral:lncRNA from 1 species